UCGGGAAUUUUGGGCAAUGGGGGCAACCCUGACCCAGCAACGCCGCGUGAGGGAUGAAGGCCUUCGGGUCGUAAACCUCUGUCGGGAGGGAAGAAAGCAUUGCGGUCGAAUAGGCCGUAGUGUCGACGGUACCUCCAAAGGAAGCACCGGCUAACUCCGUGCCAGCAGCCGCGGUAAUACGGAGGGUGCAAGCGUUGUUCGGAAUUACUGGGCGUAAAGCGCGUGUAGGCGGCUUGGCAAGUCGGGUGUGAAAUCCCGAGGCUCAACCUCGGAACUGCACUCGAAACUGCCUAGCUAGAGUCCCGGAGAGGGUGGCGGAAUUCCCAGUGUAGAGGUGAAAUUCGUAGAUAUUGGGAGGAACACCGGUGGCGAAGGCGGCCACCUGGACGGUGACUGACGCUGAGACGCGAAAGCGUGGGGAGCAAACAGGAUUAGAUACCCCCGUAGUCC
rnacentral:rRNA from 1 species